ACGGUCCAUCUACUAUACUGUGGCAGUGAGUAAAUAAAAUAUAUGAUGAAUAAAAUAUACUUUCGGUAUAUUACCAGAGUGGUAAUAUAAGUACUAAUUAUUUUGUACUUUGCAGUUAUUUUAUUACAGGUAUCUCGAUCUAUUUUAAUACAUGUAGCCGUCAAACCUGUUUGUCCAGUUCAUAUGUCCACCUGAGUAUGUUUCACCUGUAUUGUAUUGUCAUGUUAAUGUCUUGUCACGUGACUGCGUGUUCGUACGUGUACGUGUGAGUUUUAUUUGUCACUCCCGCACUCGACAUUAGAGGUAGCUGACGUACUUUAUACAUGCGACAUCUAUGACAACAUACAGUGUUAAAUGCAGCAAUAUCCUAAAAUGAAUUAAACAUGUAGACGUCGGAUCAGAAUUGUUGAUAUUGUCAUUAAGACCCCUGUCGGAUUGACAGGGAAGUAACAUGGCCAACAAAGGCGUGGAACCACGUGCCGCUCGGUCUGUCCACCUCAGAUACAAAGUGCCCGAUUCCGCCACUUCCGCCCGAAACACCAUUUGUGUCCGUCGUUGUCAGACCGGUACAUAUUUCUGCGCUAGCAACUUCCGGUGCGGAUAUAUAUGGGGAUUCAACAGUUGUAUGACGGGAAAAAGGUUGUUAUAUUUUCCGUCUGGGAUAAUAAGACUGAUGAUGACCCGGAUGUUGACAGACAAGCAAAGGCUACAUACAAAGGUGAAGGUGUAGACAUCCAGAGAUUCGGAAGUGAGGGCACGGGCCUUCGGUGCCUUUUAUCAUACAACUGGGAAAUAGAUGAAGACACACCAUUCCGAGUGGAUGCGGAGACGGACGGAAAAUGGACAGCCUACUCCGGGCAUUACUUUGACCAGAGGAAGAACUCGUGGUUCCACAUCGCUACGCUAAAGAAUUUGACAGAAGGAAAUUUGAUUUGCGAUUGUGCCGCAUUCGUUGAAAGAUUUUCGGCGCGACGGGAAAAGUUUUCAUGAUAAAAGGAAAGCUUGCUUUUGUGAUUUCCAAUUCUUAGUAGGAUAUCGAUGGACGAAAUGUGAGGAGGCACGCUUCACAGCUGAUCAAAACCCAGUCUUAAAUAUGAAUGCUGGAUGUGAGGGGGUCAGUUUUUCGUUUUGGAAACUGGUGGCGAUACCUGCAAUUGUGAUAACCCUUGAAUGGUACUGUGAAAAUAAAAUGAAUAGAUAUGAAAAUAUCAACAUGUCAGAUACCAUAUGUGUUUAUACAAUGUAUAUAAUCGGUUGACAAUCAACCGAGCUGAUUCAUCGCCUGUCUCUAACUUUCAACAUUAAUUAACAAAAGCUUCAUACAUCCUGUAUAUACACCGGUAACACUGCUGUCUGUAUGAUGAUUAACUUUAUGCUGGACUAAUGUUGAUGUUUCUCCGAGUUUUUUAAGUGAAAAUAUGAAGGACAUCAUCGAACGGAGAGAGCUAUACUGUUGUGUCAUUCACAAUUCAUGACGUCACUAAUUGUUCAUAAUAUGACAUGACGUCAUAAUCGAUUUCUGACAAACAGAACCAAUGAAAUCCGCUCCAGAUAAUAUUACAUAUGAUGUAAAAUAUGACAUGGACGAAUUCACCGUAUUAGUGUUAGUUCAUUUUUGACAUGUUCACAUCAUCAUCAAUUGUCCUUAUUAUUUUCGGUCAUGUAUAUUCACUUCACCAUUUAUGUUAUACGGGAUUUUGAUUUAAACAUAUUUUACUGCCUUUAAGCAACGGGAUCGGGCACAAGUUGUACAACUUAUUCGAAGUCCUUUCCCUGAGACAAAACAUGGGUAUACAUACAAUACAAUUCAAGAUGGCAUAAACUAAUAUAACGUGUAUAUACACUCUCAUGCAAUUUUGCAAGACUAUUUACACAAUAAGAAGGAAGAUACUUUUAUACUUGUGUCUAAUCCGAUUUGUGUUUUGACAAAUACAAUACGUUUAAAUCAAGUCAAUUAACUUACACAUAUGACCUUUGGGUGCACAUACAUUGAAAUCCAAUUGACUUGCCCCUUUUUAUUCAUAUUCUUUAAUUUAAGGAAUCGCCUUAUCUAACAUUAUUUUUAAAGAUUUUAACAGUUUUCGAAUUUUCGCCCUUAAUACAAUGUUUCCAUAUAGAACGUGUUUGCUUGUUCGGAUUACCAGGCCAAUCUUCGCGUGACAAUAAAGCAUGGGCGAACUAAAACAAUAUUUUAAAAUAUUUAAGGUUACAACUUACAAACACCCAAAUUGACCUACCUUAUCUAUCCACACUCCCCUCGAAUAAUUAAUUCUGAGUAACAAUCACUGUAUACAAAGGACACUUGUUUGGACUUCAUAUUCCAGACAAGAAACGUUGAACGCGUGUCAUUUAAAUGAAGUUUAAAUUUAUAUGACUUUAGUAAAAAAAAAAUCUUUUUAAAUAAACCAAGAAUUGUAACAUUCAAGUUGUAUUUGUCAGUUAAUUUUUUCAUCGACGUUGCCCAACAUUUAAAAAUGUCGAUCAUACCCGUUAUAGACACGGCAGCGAAGUCAGUAGAGCGGAACGUAUAUAUGUGUAGAUGGGGAAACCCACUUACCUGUAACUAGAGGGUGGAUUAUAUAGACCAUUACAGAGACUUGCUCUGAAACAAUGGGCUAUUGGUAUCAAUGUUAUCAACUUGUGAGGAUCCUGGACAGACGGUUAAGAUAAUUAAUUCGUGAGAAAAAAACACGCCUUUUGAGUCGUGACGUCACACUACUAUUUGUGUAUAUAGUGUUGUUUACUUCCUGAAUGUCAGAUUGUACAACACAAUGGAGAACUACUUACUUUUUCUAGUAAUCUGCGUACACUGGACUGUCAAUUAUUCAGAUGGACUACCUGAUUGUUGCAGCGUACAUUUCAAGUCACCUGUCCGGGCUGUCGUCUGCAAGUCAUUCCUCAGGAUGUAGAGAAGAAUACAACUUCCUUAAUCCUUACUCACAACAACGUAAAAAUCCUGCUUAAAGAGUCCUUUAUAGAUAUGCCACAUUUAGAACAUAUUGUAUUGUCCUUUAACAGUUGUCAGUCAUUUCGACUGGCACCUUUCAUCACCUGGUCAACCUGACGUUCCUCGACCUAUCACAUAAUCACCUUGAUGGCUUCUCAUUCGAAGCAUCCGCCUUCAAUCCCCGAAAUAACCUCAAGACUCUUAUCAUGUAUAGCAACAACUUCCAUUUAAGGAAGGUAUAUCCAGAACCAACGUUAUUGUCUCUAUCAGGAAUUGAAACACUUUAUAUUGAUAUAUUCGACGGGUUACUUUUGGAGAGGCAUUUUUGAAUUUAAACAAAAUGAAAGCAUUGUCGUUCCACCAAAGAGGAGAGCUGUCGAUAAGAAACACAUCAUUUCAACGAUUGGAGAGUAUGGAUAUUCAUAAAUCAAGUCCUUUCUUUAAAACAGAAAAGUUAGAAAGCAAUGAAUUGCAUCCAUUACGAAACGUAUCUAAGUUGUGUUUGACAUCACGCCGAUACCGAGACGUUCGUGAUGUUCUGCCCCUUCUCCAUGGAUUACGAGGAAGAACGAUGGAAUCAAUUGAAAUUCUUCAUAACUAUGUUCGUAAUGAUAAUACAGUUCACUUAGAAAAUUCAGACAUCCGUUUCUUUAGCGCUAUUUGCAUUAGAAAACGUAACCUUUCUAACAAUGCAAUUGGAAGUAUUAGUAUAGAAGCCGUGUUGUCAUGGACCAGUCGGGGCUGUAUAGAGUAUUUAGAUUUGUCGAGAAACUCUUUUCAAUCACCACAAGUCUUUUUCAUUCUGAUAUUAUUUCCCUCGAUACAAU